GGACUGUGUGUUUCUAUCUUGACUGUAUUUAAGAACCCUUUGCCCGUUGCAGAACAUAAUGUAUAUAGGUAUCAUUUAGUAAUACCUGCUUUACCUGACCUGGGUAAGGUGACCAACUUUACCGUCUCUGCUGACAUAGGAGAAAAAAAAACGAGCUGUCCUGGAGAUGCAUUUUCUUCCAGAGAGGGAGAUGAAGGAACACAGAGACUAAAUUAAAUUUCUAUCUGAUGAAUAUCAGAUAGUGGUCACUAUAUCUGUGGCAACUGCCAAUAGCAGUAAAGCACUGAUCAGCAUCAAACAUGAGUCUAUCUUUGAUUAAUAUUAGCUCUAUUUCUGAUGACACAUGAUUUAUUGAGUCCACAUUUGAACUGAAUCACAUGGGCUAUAUGUUUUUGUUUGAUCGAAUUUAUAUUCUGCCAUUAUGAAGCUUGACUCGAUGCAUUAAAUGUCAUUCAGUUACUGAGAAUAAAAUUAUGUGAAAAACUACUUUAGAACUGCAAUGGGUUGCAUUUUAAAAUGAUUAAAUAAACGUUUUCCCAUAUACAAACAUUGUUGUCUUAUGGAAAAAUAAAAUUCAGUGUAUAGUUUAGAUUGUAUGAGAAUAAUGUGAGAUGUCACGUCUGCUUCAUCUACCGUAUCAGAACACAGAGAUGCCAAAUGUUUUUGUUUCAGAAACUGGAGCCAAUUUUCUAUUGCUGUGGUGUCAGUGGGGGUACCUGCUUUACCUGUCCUUGCAAAGUGUUAUUUUUGUAAUGUUUUCACAUUUUACAAUUAAUCUUAUAUCUGUUUCCACUCAUUUUAUUUUAAGCACUUUUUUUUCUUGAAUUGUAUUAAAUAAAUGUAUCUAAAUUUAAGACACAGUUUGAGUUCCUUUAUAUGAUAUGUAUCAGUAAGAAUUAAGGUAAAAUCACUUUUUGUAACUCUGAUUUUUACAAUUAAUAAAGAGAAUUCUUCCA